rnacentral:misc_RNA from 1 species
CGAAAUGCGAUAAGUAAUGUGAAUUGCAGAAUUCAGUGAAUCAUCGAAUCUUUGAACGCACCUUGCGCUCCUUGGUAUUCCUUGGAGCAUGCCUGUUUGAGUAUCAUGAAAUCUUCAAAGUAAAUCUUUUGUUAACUCAAUUGGUUUCUACUUUGGUAUUGGAGGUCUUUGCAGCUUCACACCUGUUCCUCUUUGUUCAUUAGCUGGAUCUCAGUGUUAUGCUUGGUUCCACUCGGCGUGAUAAGUUAUCUAUCGCUGAGGACACUGUAAAAGGUGGCCAAGGUAAAUGCAGAUGAACCGCUUCUAAUAGUCCAUUGACUUGGACAAUACUUUUAUGAUCUGAUCUCAAAUCAGGUAGGACUACCCGCUGAACUUAAGC